rnacentral:misc_RNA from 1 species
UUGAAUGUUUGAAGUAGUUGAGCUGGUCUCAACGGACAAGUGCUUGCUACUUCUAUUCAUCUUAUCCACUUGUGCACUUUCUGUAGAGCUUUGAAGAACGUCUUGGUUAAUUCUAGGACUAGUAAGCAAGUUCUAUGUAUCUUAUAAACUCUAUGAAUGUCUUGAAUGUCUUUUAUUGGGACUUAAUUGACCCUUUAAACUUUAUA